CUGCAUUUGUCAGACGAUUUAAUAAAAAGAAACACACAUGUGUUUAUUAGCAGUCUAGUCAGUUUAGAUUGGAAUCUUGAACAGUUUUAAUCUGAUUUAAUCGAGGAAAACAGAGUGAAGAGACUAGAUGUUCUUCAAAUCUUGGCAGAAAGGAAUGAAAGAAGAAAACGCUAACUGGAGCUCAAUGGUUUACCGUCAGAAAGCAAUGAUUUUGCCCAUAACCCCAAAUUUUUCAGACUCCAUCCUCGUUGAAUCAUCAUCCCAGAGUGCUUCGUCAAAAAGUAGUAGACAGGAACAAUUAAAUCGUACUACAGUUCUGGAUAUUUUUGAUGACACACAAGUUUAUCUUUUUUAUUCAAAAGACGAAGUAAACUAUUCUUGGCUUGAUAAAGAUCUAGGUAUUAAAGAAAUUCAAAUUCCAAAGAUGUCUUCUUCAGAUUUGGUGAACUAUUUGCGGUUAGAAAUAAAGGGCAAUUACAACGAUCAUUGUAAACCUGCAAAUUAUCAUAUAGAUAUUUGUUCUUUCUAAUGUCAGUGACAACAAGCAAAGAUGUGGCAGAAGUGUGUCUUAAGAUUCUUUCAGAAAAAAUAUCUGAUAAAACUCAACAAUUCUGUAUUGAAGUGCCUGACCUACUUCUAGUCCUGAUGAAUUUUGGUACUGUUCAAAGCAAGCUUUGGCCUGCGGCUUCGGACAUUUCUUUUCCUCGCCCAUUCCGGAAAUUUUCCAUGAACAGUUUCGAUUCGGAAAAACAUCAUGUCCCUUUCCCUCGCUUUCUAUUUGGAGAAAAUAUUGUCUCUCUUGAGUUUCAAUGUGAAAACAUAUCCCUAUUUUUCCGAGAACGAGAAAAUUGGAAUGUGCAACCUUUUGCUAAAUCUUUACAUGGCCAAUUUUAUAGCUGGAGACACUUUUCUAACUCUCAAAAUCAGAGACAUUAUAUCACGUAUACUUGAAAGUUUUACAGUAGAGGAAUGGAGUGAACUUAAUUUCAAAAUGGGUGGUGGACAUGUUACAAAAUUUUUCCACAAGAAUGCAGAAAACUAUUAUCAAAUCAAUUACUAGAUGACCUUUUUAUAUCUUCCUUUUUACUCCUAUCAUUUGGGUUUAAAUUGUGACGAACUGACAGGUGGAUGGUGGCAGCAUAAUUGAUACAGGGAUCCACUCUUUCUUAUAGGCUAAAGCAUCUGACAGAAGUUAUCCAAAAUAGGCAAUUUGUGUGUAUUACGUUUCAGAUGGUUUCGAUUCCGACUAGUCCGGUGCAUCAGUGGGCCCUCUUCCGACAAACCCAGAUUAGUUUAAUUAUCAAUCAUGUUUUCGAAUUUUUUUUACAAACUGGCUAAUUGGUUUUUCUUUUGUGAACAUAUGUUGGUGGUGGACCGGAAAUUCCAGAAUCGGAUGAGAUUUCUGGCGGUGACAAUAGAACAGGAUGCAUAUUCGGAAGUCAUGGGCUGGCUGAUGGGCCCGCAACACGUCCAGCAGCCACAUUGAGACUCGGAAACGUUUGUAGGUUCUUCGUUGCCGACGUCGGCCGUCUUGACUGAGUUACAUCACGCUACCUGGACAAUUCCCGACUCUUCACUCGCUUCGACGACGACAAAGAAUUUUUCCGGUUCCAAAGUUUAUGGUGUUCCGUCGGUGGACCACACAUUUUGAGUCAUCGUUAUUAUGAUGCAUUUGCCUAUAAUAGUGAAGCAGGAGCGAUAACUGGGAGUAGCUGCCGGAUGAUUCUGGAACCACGAACUUACUCUUCCGUUUGGUGCGCCGAUUCGCCAAUUAUUUGUUUGGUCGUUAGCAUCCGCAACCGACUGAAACAUCACCGCAAUGAACCGAAACUAGGACGCUAUUUUGUUGCCGGAAGUAAUCAAAGAUAUCCUAUCGGUGCUGGAUCGUGGAUAGAAUCAUUCGUUCGGCUGAAGAAUAUCUCUUUCGAAUGACCUGGCCCAACAAUUCACAGAUCUCGUCCGGGAUCAACUCGCUUAUUCAAUCCCGCCAUAUUGGGAUCCAGCAAAGAAAACUUUUACUCCUCAGCUGAAUUUUGUCCACCAUUCAACAACGGAUGCCACUGCUUCUAGUCAAUCUGCUGGACCGUGUUCCGGCAGAUUUGCAUAAAACUAGCAAGUGAGCUUUGUUCUCUGCACAGUUCUAAGGAUUGAGUGCUAGGUUUUAGCAAACAAAUGUGGACUUUUCAAGUGUUGUGAUUAUCUUAAGACCAGCUACAAAUACUGAGUUUUGAGACGUGUCAAUAGAUGGCGUGUUGAUUGUGUUAAUGGAAUGGCGAUUUGCUGUCGAAAGUUAAGCUAUCCUUUCUUCGAAAAUUAUCAAUGAAUUCUCAGGAAGAAACAUGAAACUGAUGAAAGGUUCGUGGCUGUCGUGCUGCCUACCGUCAACUAUUUUGUUCAAAAUCUUUGUAUUCUACUGAAUGUGCCAUCGAAACGAUACAGAAUUUAUAAUUAUCUGCUGCUGUUUGUAUUGGACUUGCUAGAUCACCAACCCCGGCAUAGACUAAUCUCUCAUUUCAUCUUCUCAAGAGAAAAUUGGAUAACUGAUCUGUGGUUUCAUGUGCAAGUUCACUUAUUAUGUCACGAAACUUUUUCCGUUGCAGCCUAAUAUGUAUUUAAAAUAUUGAACUAUUGAUCUCCACUUAUGUCUAUCUAAUGUUUAAGAGACACUUUUGAGUGCAUACUGAUAAUUGUUUAUUCUUUUAGAUUAUAGAUGUCAAGCACAUUGAUGCCACAAAUUAUACAAAAUAAGGGGACAUUUUUCUCUUUUUAUUUACAGGAUCUAAACUCCAGGUUUCUAAAUUUGCAUGGCAGACUUUAUGAGAAGUCAUGUCCUUUCAAGAAAGUCAACAAGGUCACUUGUUUACCAACCUGUUGGCUGCUACCCUUGAAUCUCCCUUUUUACUUUCUAAAGCGGCCAUCUUAAUUUGAG